GUUGAGUACCACAUGAACAGCAUAGUAGUCUGUUGAAAUGAGCUGUCACUUGGUCUGACAUUUAAGUCAGAAGCUGACGUACCUGAGCAGAAAGCAGGUCCAGUUAACAAAAGCCUGGCUAAUACGUGGAGCAGGGAACAUAUGGAACACACAGACCACUUUGCUAGAACCAUCAAAAGGACCAUUCACCUAUGAAGACCUGGAAAAAGAAUCAGAAAAUCUCAGAGCAAGUUCUGAAAAUAGAAAAAUAGGAGAAUGGUGUUGAAGCUUAGUAUCUAAAAUGUAAUUGCAACAAUGUUUGGGGAUGUAAAUGAAUCAUAAAGAAAAGUAAGUGCCUUUAUAAACAAAAUGAAAUUUAAAAAAAUCAAUACUUUCUAAAGUAAUGAUUUUCAUAUUGGGUGUAUCUCUUGAAAAUACCCAUUUUGAAGUAUAGUUUUAUUGCUUAGAGUGAAAU
rnacentral:lncRNA from 1 species